ACCAGACUCCUACGGGAGGCAGCAGUGGGGGAUAUUGCACAAUGGGGGGAACCCUGAUGCAGCGACGCCGCGUGGGUGAAGAAGCGCCUCGGCGCGUAAAGCCCUGUCAGCAGGGAAGAAAAUGACGGUACCUGAAGAAGAAGCCCCGGCUAACUACGUGCCAGCAGCCGCGGUAAUACGUAGGGGGCAAGCGUUAUCCGGAUUUACUGGGUGUAAAGGGGGCGCAGACGGCGAUGCAAGCCAGGAGUGAAAGCCCGGGGCGCAACCCCGGGACUGCUCUUGGAACUGCGUGGCUGGAGUGCAGGAGGGGCAGGCGGAAUUCCUGGUGUAGCGGUGAAAUGCGUAGAUAUCAGGAGGAACACCGGUGGCGAAGGCGGCCUGCUGGACUGCAACUGACGUUGAGGCCCGAAAGCGUGGGGAGCAAACAGGAUUAGAUACCCCUGUACAU
rnacentral:rRNA from 1 species